rnacentral:rRNA from 1 species
UACGUAGGGGCCGAGCGUUGUCCGGAGUUACUGGGCGUAAAGCGCGCGCAGGCGGCUCGUCAAGCCUGACGUGAAAGCCCCCGGCUCAACCGGGGAGGGUCGUCGGGGACUGGCGGGCUUGAGGUCGGCAGGGGCUGGUGGAAUUCCCGGUGUAGUGGUGAAAUGCGUAGAGAUCGGGAGGAACACCCGUGGCGAAGGCGGCCAGCUGGGCCGGACCUGACGCUGAGGCGCGAAGGCGUGGGGAGCGAACGGGAUUAGAUACCCCCGUAGUCC